rnacentral:tRNA from 1 species
GCCCGCUUGGCUCAGUGGUAGAGUGUGUCACUCGUAUGACGAGUAAUGAUAAGGUCGUCAGUUCGAUUCUGGCAGUGGGCA